rnacentral:rRNA from 1 species
UGGGGAAUUUUCCGCAAUGGGCGAAAGCCUGACGGAGCAACGCCGCGUGAGGGAUGAAGGCCUCUGGGCUGUAAACCUCUUUUCUCAAGGAAGAAGAUCUGACGGUACUUGAGGAAUAAGCCACGGCUAAUUCCGUG